rnacentral:rRNA from 1 species
CAAGUCGAACGGGUUUCGGCAGUUCAUCGCCGGAACGAGUGGCAGACGGGUGAGCAAGACGUGAACAAUCUUCCUUCGAGAGGGGGAUAACGCCGGGAAACCGGCGCUAAUACCGCGUGAGACCACGUCCCCCGCAUGGGGAUGGGGCUAAAGCUCCGCAAGGGGCGCUUGAAGAGGAGUUCACGGCCUAUCAGCUUGUUGGUGAGGUAACGGCUUACCAAGGCUACGACGGGUAGGCGGUCUGAAAGGACGACCGCCCACAAUGGCACUGAGACACGGGCCAUACUCC